UAGAUACACUAGAUAAAUUGAUACGGGAGAUAUAAAAUUGAUGCAGAAUAAAUUUGAUACAGAUUCACUGAUACAAACAGAUACAUUGUGAAGUUACAGAUAUAAAAAGUCAAAUUUGCAUUAGUGUAUAUUUAACAUUAGAAACACGUAUUUUUAUGCCAAAGACAUGUAUCUGCAAAAAAAAAUUAUUAAAUUAAUACUAAAUACAUUGAAUUAAUAGGAGAUACAUUAGAUAAAAUUGUUAGUAUUGGAUACACCAAAUGAAAUUGAUAUUGAAUAUAGAUACAUUUGAUUCAACAUAUACACAAAAUUUUAAAAUAUAGAUACAUUGUGAAAACAUCGAUACAAUAAAAGCACAGAUCAAUGAUGAAGGGAAAAAAUUGAAAACAAGGAAAAUUUGUAUCCUAUGAUGGACUUUAUGUAUAAUUUUUUGUGGUAGUCAAGAUUACUACUAGUAUAUAUUAAAACAGUACAGUGAGGUGCCCGAGAGCAUUAUUACAAACACAGUCGUUAGAGGUACUAGGUACAGAACUAACUGCAGCAGAACACGUAAUAUGGCAAAAACCUGAGGAAGUGGGAUUAGGUUUGGGUCUAUUGACACUAAAUUAUUCCAUAUCUAUAUCUAGUAGUUUUAGUACAAACGGAAGAGCUGUGAACCAAAACGUUAUGUCACUUCACGUGAUUGAUGCAUCACAAUUUGCCAAAAUAUUUUCUACUAUGUUGGAAUCCUUGUACAUGUGGUAGAUAGGGGAUCAUGGAGUAGCUUCAAGAGGGACCUGCAAUUGUCAAUUAUAUGCGAGUAGAUUGGUAGUGGGUCGAAUAGAAUAUCUAUUACUUCUACUCAAUCCACUAUAAUGUAUAGAGAAAAAUAUUCAUGUUGGUAUGUAAGUUGGAGCCCUUGGAGUAGCGCUACAAGUUUUUGCAUAACCAUAGACGUUUCAGUAGUACAACUUGCAAAACCUAUAAACCAAUCACCCAAGUUAGUUCUAAGAACCCCUCCGAUCUUGCCAAAUUAGAUGUAUUGGGUGCUGAUGUAUUGGGUACUUCGGCAUCAUUAUGGAGGUAGAUAGUGUCUGGGUGGGUAAUAGGUAGCCUUGGAGGAGUAGAGUGGCCGCGGGAUACAGGAGUCGAGAUAGUAGAAUGUAGAGCAUGAUAAAGUCCAUGGCUAAAUGUUACUACUACAUGCAGUGAUGGUUAAGAGUUGUUGUUCUCGAAUGUAUUUUUAUUUUGAGUUAACUAGAGAUGCCAGAGUAAGAAGGGAAAGAAAAUUAUUUGUGGUAAGGCAGAGACAUAGACAGGCUUAUGGUGCCAAUGAAGUAAACUUCGGAGCCAGGUAGUCUGUACUAAAGGGGUAGAGCCUGGAAUAGAGGGAAUAUGUUGUAGCAACUAGAGAUGGCGCCAAAGAGGUUUGGCAGCGAAUAGUGGAAAAAGAUGUGGUAGAUGGAUUCGGGUAAUGCAUGGCAAGUAGCGCAAAGAGGGGAUUGGAUGGCUCAACUGUAAUGAAGGUACGCAGAAGUUGGCAGGCGUUGAUGAACCAUGAGCCAAAGGAAGGUGUGAAGCUUAGGAGGAAGCUUAAGUUUCCAAAUCCAGGUUUAAAAGUUUGGGGUUGAGGGAAUGUGGGCGAGUGCAUGAUAGCAAGAUUUGACAGUGAAUCUACCUAUGGGAGUUAGACCCCAAACAAUCUGAUCAUAGCACUUAUCGUUGUUGGGAACCUGUGAUAUAUAAUAAGAGUAAAUUAAAUGUCGAAUCUGGGGAGGUAGGUCGAAGGAAAGCGACAUUUGUCCAUUUAGGCAGUCUUUAAUGGUCUGUUUUUCAUCAUUAGGAUUAAAAGGUCCUGAAAUCAUAUUCUGGAGGAUGAUUUUAGGUCUGAUCCAGGGGUCCAUCCAGAAUCUGAUGUUGGACCCAGUGUGGGUAUGCCGAACAAGACCUUCCUGGCAGGUAUUCCACCCUACUUUAUGUAUAAAUUUGAAUGUUCUAAUCCCUUUUUUUUAGAGGGGGGUUACGUGUGUUGCUUAAAAAAAUUUCAAUCCCUUGAUUUCAACCCUACUUAUGUAUGCCAAUUACAUCAACAAAAAAAAAAAUGGUUCCCCUUUCGGUUCUCGCUUUUAUCUAAGAUACACGAAUCUCUCUAAUGUAUCUAGGCUAAAUUUUAGACUGACUAUAUAAUUUUUGAAACGGUAGUGCCACCUAAUAAUUAGGUCUGUUUUAUGCGAUUUGCUCACAAAUCUCUCAUUAUAUUCCAAGCCCAAACCAAUGUGUCACAAUCCUUUUAAGGGUCGUUCGGUAGAAGAGAUAAGAAAAAUAAUUUCGAAAUAAAGUUUGAAAUUAACUUUAUCUCAUGUUUGGUAUAAAGGAUUACUUAAUCCCGAGACUAUUUUAUUCCACCAUUUAAGUAUAAAUGCUGGGAUUACUAUCCCAUAAAAAGAAAGGGAUAAAAAAAUUUCAUGGAAUAUCUCACCUCAUGAGAUAUCCUUAUUUAUUUGAUUCAGUGUACCAAACGACCCUAAUGGGCCAACGCUGAUGGGCUUAACCAGUUCACCGCAUAGUUAAUCCAAAAUACACAAGCAAGUUGUUGGAACCUCCUUCAAGAAUAUUCUCAAAAUUCUGCUUAACCACAAAUGAAAGGAAAAGAUUUCCAUGGAGUAGGAUAAGUGGGACCCACUUAACGCAAAUCUUCUACCAGCCUUACACUUUCCACCCCAUAAUUGCCAACACAAUCUAAGACCACUCCGCUCCCCCCUACCCCCGAAACUACCCAAAUAUUACAGAAUGAACUUUAAAGUUUGAAAUUUUAGUGAUUAAAAGAAAAGGGAAUUCCAAGAAAGUCACAAUGGCAGCAUCAACAGCAACAACUUCAUAUUUAUGUGCUCUAGACAAAAAGACUCCAUUUUUAUGUUCUCUAGACAAAAAGACUCCAUUUUUAUGCCCAAAAAACAGCACAAAGAGAAGAUCAUUUCAUGGAGGAGUAAAGUGCAUGGCAAUAGAGACAGCAGCAAGUUUUACACAGACCAAGAAAAGGAGUGGCUAUGAACUACAAACUUUAACUAGUUGGCUAUUGAGGCAAGAACAAGCUGGAGUUAUUGAUGCUGAACUUACCAUAGUGAUUUCAAGCAUAUCAAUGGCUUGUAAGCAGAUUGCUUCCUUGGUCCAAAGAGCUGGCAUUUCUAACCUUACUGGAGUUCAAGGUGCUGUCAAUGUUCAAGGUGAAGAUCAGAAGAAGCUUGAUGUUGUCUCUAAUG
rnacentral:lncRNA from 1 species